rnacentral:rRNA from 1 species
UACGUAGGUGGCAAGCGUUAUCCGGAAUUAUUGGGCGUAAAGCGCGCGCAGGCGGUUUCUUAAGUCUGAUGUGAAAGCCCACGGCUCAACCGUGGAGGGUCAUUGGAAACUGGGGAACUUGAGUGCAGAAGAGAAAAGCGGAAUUCCACGUGUAGCGGUGAAAUGCGUAGAGAUGUGGAGGAACACCAGUGGCGAAGGCGGCUUUUUGGUCUGUAACGUGACGCUGAGGCGCGAAAGCGUGGGGAGCAAACA